GACGAACGCUGGCGGCGUGCUUAACACAUGCAAGUCGAACGGAAAGGCCCUGCUUGCCGGGUACUCGAGUGGCGAACGGGUGAGUAACACGUGGGUGAUCUGCCCUGCACUUCGGGAUAAGCCUGGGAAACUGGGUCUAAUACCGGAUAGGAGCCAUUUUUAGUGUGAUGGUUGGAAAGUUUUUUCGGUGUAGGAUGAGCUCGCGGCCUAUCAGCUUGUUGGUGGGGUAAUGGCCUACCAAGGCGGCGACGGGUAGCCGGCCUGAGAGGGUGGACGGCCACAUUGGGACUGAGAUACGGCCCAGACUCCUACGGGAGGCAGCAGUGGGGAAUAUUGCACAAUGGGCGCAAGCCUGAUGCAGCGACGCCGCGUGGGGGAUGACGGCCUUCGGGUUGUAAACUCCUUUCGCUCGGGACGAAGCUUUUUGUGACGGUACCUAGAUAAGAAGCACCGGCUAACUACGUG
rnacentral:rRNA from 1 species